GUAGUCACCCGGGUUGCCGCAAGGCCUCUCGGGUAACCUACCACCCUUUGUUUAUUACACUUUGUUGCUUUGGCAAGCCUGCCCUCGGGCUGCUGGCUCCGGCCGGCGAGCGCUUGCCAGAGGAAACAAACUCUGUUUUUAGUGAUGUCUGAGUACUAUAUAAUAGUUAAAACUUUCAACAACGGAUCUCUUGGUUCU
rnacentral:misc_RNA from 1 species